rnacentral:rRNA from 1 species
GGCUCAUCACAUCCUGGGGCUGAAGUCGGUCCCAAGGGUAUGGCUGUUCGCCAUUUAAAGUGGUACGCGAGCUGGGUUUAGAACGUCGUGAGACAGUUCGGUCCCUAUCUGCCGUGGGCGUUGGAAGAUUGAAGGGGGCUGCUCCUAGUACGAGAGGACCGGAGUGGACGAACCUCUGGUGUUCGGGUUGUGUCGCCAGACGCAUUGCCCGGUAGCUAAGUUCGGAAUCGAUAACCGCUGAAAGCAUCUAAGCGGGAAGCGAGCCCUGAGAUGAGUCUUCCCUGAUACUUUAAGUAUCCUAAAGGGUUGUCGGAGACUACGACGUUGAUAGGUCAGGUGUGUAAGUGCUGUGAGGCAUUGAGCUAACUGAUACUAAUUGCCCGUGAGGCUUAACCAUACAACACCCAAGGGGUUU